GCUGGCGGCAGGCCUAACACAUGCAAGUCGAACGGUAACAGGAAUCAGCUUGCUGAUUCGCUGACGAGUGGCGGACGGGUGAGUAAUGUCUGGGAAACUGCCUGAUGGAGGGGGAUAACUACUGGAAACGGUAGCUAAUACCGCAUAACGUCGCAAGACCAAAGAGGGGGACCUUCGGGCCUCUUGCCAUCGGAUGUGCCCAGAUGGGAUUAGCUAGUAGGUGGGGUAACGGCUCACCUAGGCGACGAUCCCUAGCUGGUCUGAGAGGAUGACCAGCCACACUGGAACUG
rnacentral:rRNA from 1 species